UGCCAUCUCAAAUUCUCAAUUUACCAUUUACAAGUUCAUACACAAUAAGAAUAACACAUUAUAUUUGAGCUGAUAUUUCAGUGACUAGUACAGAUAUCUUCUUAAUUAAAUUUCUCUGUAAUGAAAGUAAUAAAGAAUUAAGUGCUUCAGUCGGACAUAAGUAAUAUUUUUCUAAGAAGUUCAAAGAGAGAUGCUGAAAUACACCUAAACCUGUUUAAUAAAUUCUCUAAUUGAUUUUCUGGUGAGCAUAUCAUUUUCUGACAACAAUGUAUUUUUUGUUCGCUACUUAUCCACCUUUAUUGUUUCUAGUCAGAAUAAGCAUUUAUUUAUCACAUCUAUCACAUAUGAUAUGUUUCCUAGUAUAUCAAAGGCAGUUUUACCUUGUGUCCUUGAGAAAGCCUUAUUAUUAAUAAACAAACAUGGAGAGUAUAAAGUGGGAGGUUUGCUGUGUACUGUAGGUAACGCUGUAUACUGACUAACAAUUAAAAAGUCUAAUUAAAAGUAACAAAAUAACUGAGGAUUGGAAAAUAAAAUUGGACCUAUGUUUUCAUGUCAAUCUCCAAAUUCAUUCAUUUCCCCAAUUAGGUUGUUUUCAAAUCAGCAUUGACAAAUAGUAGUGAUUAUAGUACAGUUCACCCUCAUACUGUCACAGUACAAGGUUGUUCAUAAUUUUGAAUUAAUGUUAGAUUUUUUAGCACUGCAUUUGAUAGGUAUAUCAGGACUUUUUUUUCAAAAAAAAGAAAAAGACACAAAAAAGGUUCGUCAUAGUUGAGACAAAUGGUUUUAAGAUACAUGUAUUAUACUUAUAAUGCAAAGGAAUACCCAUCUUAAUCAUAAAAGUAAAGAAAAAAAGAAAAAAGUUCAUUGAUUUGUGUUCAUAUUCAUUUUCAUUUCUGUAUUAUUUGAUAUCUAUUACUGUGUUAACAUGCUUAAGACUGAAUGAUUUAUGUCUUAACUUAUUGAUAUGUGUGAGAUGUGUGUGUUGUAUAUGUUUGAAUGUUUAAGUAUUUGUGUACGGAGUAUGAGUAUUCUUACUUUUC
rnacentral:lncRNA from 1 species